CUGCUGGCUUAGGUGCUUAACAU
rnacentral:miRNA from 1 species